CGCCCAUUAGCUAGCCCAACCCUUAAAUUCAAUCAACCCAUUUUUAUACCCCCUAAAGCACGAAACACCCACAUAGCUAAACCAUUCUCCCCCCUAAGUCCAGGCGAUAGAAAAGGAAAUUUGGAGCAAUAGAAAAAGUACCGCAAGGGAAAGCUGAAAAAGAGAUGAAAAAGCCCAGUAAAGCUUAAAAAAGCAGAGAUUAAAACUCGUACCUUUUGCAUCAUGAUUUAGCUAGCACCUUCAAGCAAAGAGCCCCUAAAGUUUGAAACCCCGAAACUGAGUGAGCUACUCCAAAGCAGCCUAUUAUAGGGCGAACCCGUCUCUGUGGCAAAAGAGUGGGAAGAAUUUUGAGUAGAGGUGACAAACCUACCGAACCCAGUUAUAGCUGGUUGCCUGUGAAUUGAAUAGAAGUUCAGCCCCCUUGAUUUUCACCUCACACGAUUUAUUAACCCAUCGGACACAACGAGAAACAAGGGGUGUUAGUCAAAGGAGGUACAGCUCCUUUGAAACAAGACACAACUUUCCCGGCAGGAUAAAGAUCAUAUUUAAACAAGGAAAAUGUUCUAGUGGGCCUAAAAGCAGCCAUCUUAAUAAAAAGCGUUAAAGCUUAAACAUACAGCUCUCCCCAUAUACCGAUAACUAUAUCUCAUUCCACCCCACCUAACAGGCCCCCCUAUGCCCCCAUAGAGCCGAUUAUGCUAAUAUGAGUAACAAGAAAGUAUUUUACGCUUUCUCCCCGCACAUGUGUAAAUCGGAACGGACCCCCCGCCGAAUAUUAACGACCCCAGAAAAAGAGGGCAUUGGAAAUCACCACAAAUACAGGCUAGAAAAACAUCCAAAACAAACUCGUUAACCCCACACUGGUGUGCCUAAGAGGAAAGACCAAAAGGGAGAGAAGGAACUCGGCAAACAUACCCCAAGCCUCGCCUGUUUACCAAAAACAUCGCCUCUUGCAUUAUAAUAGUAUAGGAGGUCCCGCCUGCCCAGUGACCCUAAAGUUCAACGGCCGCGGUAUUUUGACCGUGCAAAGGUAGCGUAAUCACUUGUCUUUUAAAUGAAGACCCGUAUGAAUGGCAUAACGAGGGCUUAACUGUCUCCUUUCCCAAGUCAAUGAAAUUGAUCUCCCCGUGCAGAAGCGGGGAUAAAUACAUAAGACGAGAAGACCCUAUGGAGCUUUAGACGCACAAGCAGAUCAUGUUAAACACCCUUGAUUAAAAGCCCAAACUAAGUGAAACCUGCUCCAUGUCUUUGGUUGGGGCGACCAUGGGGAAUACAAAACCCCCACGUGGAACAGGAGCACACCCCCGUUUCUUCCUCUCCUACAAGCCAGAGCGACAGCUCUAGCCAGCAAAAUUUUUGACCAAACUGAUCCGGUUAGCCGAUCAACGAACCGAGUUACCCUAGGGAUAACAGCGCAAUCCCCUUUUAGAGCCCAUAUCGACAAGGGGGUUUACGACCUCGAUGUUGGAUCAGGACAUCCUAAUGGUGCAGCCGCUAUUAAGGGUUCGUUUGUUCAACGAUUAAAGUCCUACGUGAUCUGAGUUCAGACCGGAGUAAUCCAGGUCAGUUUCUAUCUAUGAAAUGACCUUUUCCAGUACGAAAGGACCGAAAAGAGGAGGCCCCUGCUAAAAGCACGCCUCACCCCCACCUAAUGAAAAAAUCUAAACUAGACAAAAGGACAUAAUUUGACUCAACCCUAGAUAAUGGUAA
rnacentral:rRNA from 1 species